rnacentral:rRNA from 1 species
AUUGAACGCUGGCGGCAGGCUUAACACAUGCAAGUCGAGCGGAGCGAGGGUGCUUGCACCUUAGCUUAGCGGCGGACGGGUGAGUAAUGCUUAGGAAUCUGCCUAUUAGUGGGGGACAACAUUCCGAAAGGAAUGCUAAUACCGCAUACGCCCUACGGGGGAAAGCAGGGGAUCUUCGGACCUUGCGCUAAUAGAUGAGCCUAAGUCGGAUUAGCUAGUUGGUGGGGUAAAGGCCUACCAAGGCGACGAUCUGUAGCGGGUCUGAGAGGAUGAUCCGCCACACUGAGACUGAGACACGGCCCAGACUCCUACGGGAGGCAGCAGUGGGGAAUAUUGGACAAUGGGCGGAAGCCUGAUCUAGCCAUGCCGCGUGUGUGAAGAAGGCCUUUUGGUUGUAAAGCACUUUAAGCGAGGAGGAGGCUACUUAGAUUAAUACUCUGGGAUAGUGGACGUUACUCGCAGAAUAAGCACCGGCUAACUCUGUGCCAGCCGCCGCCGUAA